AAUGAACGCUGGCGGCAGGCCUAACACAUGCAAGUCGAACGGAUCCUUCGGGAUUAGUGGCGGACGGGUGAGUAACGCGUGGGAACAUACCCUUUGGUACGGAAUAGCCUCGGGAAACUGGGAGUAAUACCGUAUGUGGUUGAGAGACGAAAGAUUUAUCGCCAAAGGAUUGGCCCGCGUUGGAUUAGGUAGUUGGUGGGGUAAUGGCCUACCAAGCCGACGAUCCAUAGCUGGUUUGAGAGGAUGAUCAGCCACACUGGGACUGAGACACGGCCCAGACUCCUACGGGAGGCAGCAGUGGGGAAUCUUAGACAAUGGGGGAAACCCUGAUCUAGCCAUGCCGCGUGGUCGAUGAAGGCCUUAGGGUUGUAAAGAUCUUUCAGGUGGGAAGAUAAUGACUGUACCACCAGAAGAAGCCCCGGCUAACUCCGUGCCAGCAGCCGCCGCGGUAA
rnacentral:rRNA from 1 species